UUUUUGAUGCGAAUAUUAAUUAUCAUGAUCUUUCAAAUUUCUUUUUCUUGGGUGGGAUUUAGAUCAAGUUCAAAAGUUAGUUUCCUCAUUUGGGUAUUUUCAGAUUUUUGCAGUUUCUGUUCUACUUGGUAAGAUUUGUUUGUAUGAGGUGCCAAUGGCUAGGAAAAGAAUGAUCUAAGUGGCUCCUGAAUUCAUUCCAGAUUCAUGACAUUGCAGCUGAUGAAAGAGCAUGGAAACAAGGGAGAGGAGAUGGAGCAAUCAAGCCGUUGUUCCAUUGGACAGAACUGUUGGCUGCAGCCAUGCAUACACAAGGCCCUAGUGCAGCUUUCCUAAAAUGGACAAGAGACUUUCCCUUAAAAUGGAAUUUCCCUCUUUCUUUUAAUUUAUUGCUACAUCAAGACUUGUUUGCUGAUAGAUAUAGAAAAUAACAUUAGCUUUUCUAAAAGCUUAAAAUUUUUCAUCCAAACAAAGCAUAACCACACUUGUCAAUUAAAACAUUAUUAACUUAUUUUCACA